UCCACUCUCUCCCGUAAAUCCCUCCCAUAUCUUUAACCACCCUUCCCCACUAUUAAAUCUCCAAUCAGUUUAUUUUCUUCACCUAUCGUUCUCUACAGCAAAAGAAAAAAAAAGAAGAACCAAGAUCCAUUCUGCUCAAUUUAAACUCAAGAAAUCAAAAUCCUUUCAGCCUUAAGGAUCUUCCUUUCCAGCCUUGUGAACUCCACAACCAAGUCCUACUCACGGAGGUGAUAUCUCGCAAGGGAAUCGUGAACGCAAAGGAAAGAAAAUAGUUUCGGAGUAAGCAAUCGAGGGCGGUCGUGACACCUGGGCUAUUGGAUUGCCUACUCGAUAAGUCAGAUUGCCAGUCACCCUGCCCGCCGCCUCAACGUCUGCCACCUUCUCGGAGCAUAUCUAAGGCGAAAUUGGACCCUGGAAUUCCAGGAGGGUGUGGAGCUUCCCAGUCGCUGCCCAAAACCUGAACUGUUUAACAUUGAUUUCUUUGUAAGAAUUAAGGUGCUUGAACGACUGCGCGACGGGAGACUUCACUUCAUCUCGAAGGUUCGGAAGGAGAAUCAGGCAGAGCAACAAGAGAUACGGCAGGCGGAGACAGAGGAGGCCGGACGCGGGAACAAGAGGAUAACGACAGACCAACCGGCAAGCCCCGACAGACAACCACGGCAGAGGUUGGAGCUAACAACCAUAGCAGAACCAGAGGUGCCUGCACGCGCUAUCAACGAAUGGAGGCUCCGCGUGGAGCAGUUUCUAACGUAGCUGGUGGAGAAUUCGAAUGCCCAGCUGGUCGCUCAAUCCAGGGUCUUGCAAGCUAUUCGCCAAUUGACCCUCGCUAUGCAACCACCUCCCUCUACAAGCUCUCCUCUACCUAGGCGUCUGAUGUCCUCCAGGCAACCUUCAGCGUCUCCGAGUCAACCCCCAGGGAACUUUCAAAUACACCCCCCAUAUCUCCGCUCGUUUUAAGUUUACAAACAAUUUUUUUUUUGUUGGUCUGUAUAUACUCAUGCUCUUUUGUUCUCUUACACUUAGCCCAAUGUCUGGUCUAAGUGUGAGAAGUAUGCAUGAUAUUUUUGCUA